GGGUUUUCAGAGGGGAAACCAGGAAAGGGAAUAUCAUUUGAAAUGUUAAUAAAGAAAAUAUCCAAUUAAAAAAAAAGCAAGAAGAGAAGAUGGAUGGAUAAAGAGGUAUUUCUUUUGUGCACAUUUUGCCUGAUCUUUAUCAAAACCUAUUAAACUUGUCACAACUAAGUAACCUAUCAGAUGAUGUGCCGGUUCAGUGAACCUCUUCUUUAAACUCAAGAUUCAGGAUGCAUUUUUGAGGUACAUAUUCAGUGACUACAAGCCAAAGAUUUCCUUGAUUUUGCUUCCUAAGAGACAAUGUUAUAAGCUGUUUGAUUCUUCAGGACUUUUUACAAGGUCUCUUUAAUGACUACUUUGAUGGUUUUUGUUUUUUUGUUUUUUUAAUUCUCAAGACAUCAAAUUUUACUUGGUUUUAGUAAAUACUUGAAUAUGUUGUCAUGGGUGUUGAGGCUGUGUGUGUUCGUGCUAGUUCCCAGGCAAUGUCCCUGCUUCUGAGUGAACAAGUCCAUAACCACUGUUCUGUCGUCUGAUAGCAGUAUUAUGUAACCACUUAAUUUUUAUUGCCAGAGUGUCAAGUCAUAAAAAGUGUCUAUACUGUGCUCAGUAAAAGAGCCCAGACCUCUCCUUGACAUCUUUGUGGUCAUUGUUCCAGCAUGCCAGUGUUAACUUGGGGCUGAGAGAAAAUUCUGCCCAGCAGAACCCAUGAGGCAAACCUCCCUGCAGAGUGCAAAAGAGAACUGGCUGUCCUGCGGUUCUGCCUUAGGCUAUUGGUGAGGUCACCACAGCUUAAGGAAUUGUCGCCAUCACAGGGACCAUGAUGUUUGACAACUAAAGCUAUAUGCUGUUUCUAGGUUCUAGUCUUUAUGCUGACGGCUUGCUAUGCAUUAAUGCUUGGCUUUCUUAGCAACCCUAAGAGAGAGGUGCUGACUCUCCUAUACUUAUAAGCAAAGAAUUGGAGCUCCAGAGGCAAUAAAUGACUUGCUCAUUUGUACAAAAUUUGGCAUAUUGGCAAAGCGAUUGAAUUUGCUCCCACCCCAGUCUGAUGGACACUCUUCAUUCCCACGUCUGUCUCUCAUGCAGUGUCACAGAAAAAAAGUCACUAAUGGUUCUUGAGUUGUUAGUAAUUGCGGUCUUCAUUGAUAGGAGAGAGUCAUUGUAACUUCUUCUUAUGCUGCACUAAAUUUUUAACAGUUUUUUUCAACUCAUCAUAACUUCCCUGUUAUCUUGAAGAACAUAUACUGGGUAUAAUUUAAACAUCUGUGCCUCUCCAGGAAGUGACUCUCCAGGAAGCAUAGAGCCUGCCCUUCUCUGCCAAAGGAGCUCUCAAGUCAAUUGCAUUUCAGAGUUCAUAGAUCUCUAGUUGUUGUGGUCUUUUGCCUCCUAAUGGACUAUCUGCUACUAUGAUAGUUUCAGUGCAAACUUCCCUCUUAAUUUGUUUCCUCUUACAGCCAGCCCUCUGGAUCCAUUGUCCCCUCUCCAUAGAUUCAACCAACCACUGAUCACAUACACUCAAAUCCAAACCCUUCUACAAAGCAUUAUCCAGUUAGACCUGUGGUGGUUGGAGGUUGUGUUUGUACUUGAACACAUGAAGACCUUUGUCUGUGGGAUUGUAUCUUAAACAGCACAGUGUAACAGCAAUCAGCGCAGGCUUUCCAUUGUGUUAAGUAUUGCAAGUCAUUAAGAGCUGAUCCACUGAAGGAUACUGGAAGGUGUGCCCUAUGCAAGUUCUACUCCAUAUGUAAAGUCUACUCCUUGUAAGGGGCUUGAGCAUUCCUAGAACUGGGUACCUAAGACGUGUGUUCCGAGACAGAAUAGCAAGUAACAGUAAGCAGGCUUUUGUCACUCAAAAAGAGCUUGUGUUCCCCAAGGGAAGAGAAAGCUGGCUUCAUGGAUGGGAUUUCCUUUUUCCUUGUCUUUUUUUUGUUUUUAAUUUUGUUCCUCCACCUACUUUUUCUCCUUUUUUUUUCUUUUGAGAAAUAACUAAUCGGUAAGUUAUUUAAUAUGAUGUAGAUGGAUCCAGAUAUUUUGAGGAAAAUUCAACCCCUUGCUAUACCCUUUCUGUCCAACUCCUUACUCCCUUUAAGGACAGACACUCAGUAACUCUGCAUCUUCCUUUCCCCUUCCCCAGCCCUCGGUGUCCUUUGCUUGAUGACUUGACUCUGAGAUGGCAGAAAGGUGUAUUUUCUAGGAAGGAAGGAAUUAUGCCUUGGCAGUAAGGAAUUUUGUGGGCUAUAUUGGGUACAGUGAGGCAGGAGGGCUCAGAGGUCUGGCUAAUAUCGUCGGCGUAUUCCUUGGUACAGAAAAUAUCGACUGGAGGAAACAAGCAAGCCUCGGGCUAUCUGUUUGCAUCUCUGCACACAAGGAAGUCUUUUUGAGACUGGGUUCCAAGCUGUGUCUCCUUGAAUAAACCCACAGGCAGGUGUGCUGGUGGCAGAGCAGGGGCUUCAGACACUACAUAGCCUCUGUUUUGCAGGUAAGGGACGGGAAGUUAGAGCUCUCAGCCCCAGAAGUUAGAUCUUUCUUUAGUCCUAGGGUUUCUUAGUCUGUGCUCAGAAGCAUAGAGAAUGAAACAGAACUUAAGCAGAAAGCCCUUGACCAGUAUCCUGCCCAGAGAGGGACUUCAUCUUUAUUUGCACAUGUAGGUCCCAGUUCUGAAGCAGACCUUCACAUCCCAAGGCAUAGAAC
rnacentral:lncRNA from 1 species